UACGAAGGGGGCUAGCGUUGUUCGGAUUUACUGGGCGUAAAGCGCACGUAGGCGGAUUGUUAAGUCAGGGGUGAAAUCCUGGAGCUCAACUCCAGAACUGCCUUUGAUACUGGCAAUCUUGAGUCCGGGAGAGGUGAGUGGAACUGCGAGUGUAGAGGUGAAAUUCGUAGAUAUUCGCAAGAACACCAGUGGCGAAGGCGGCUCACUGGCCCGGUACUGACGCUGAGGUGCGAAAGCGGUGGGAGC
rnacentral:rRNA from 1 species